rnacentral:rRNA from 1 species
UACGUAGGUGGUAAGCGUUGUCCGGAUUUAUUGGGUUUAAAGGGUGCGUAGGCGGUUCUGUAAGUCAGUGGUGAAAUACUCUAGCUUAACUAGAGGGGUGCCAAUGAUACUGCAGAACUUGAGUACAGAUGAGGUAGGCGGAAUUGACGGUGUAGCGGUGAAAUGCAUAGAUAUCGUCAAGAACACCGAUAGCGAAGGCAGCUUACUGGGCUGUAACUGACGCUGAGGCACGAAAGUGUGGGGAGCAAACAGG